rnacentral:rRNA from 1 species
AAUAUUGGACAAUGGGCGAAAGCCUGAUCCAGCCAUGCCGCGUGUGUGUAGACGGUCUUCGGAUUGUAAAGCACUUUAAGUUGGGAGGAAGGGGUUGAAGCUAAUACCUUUAAUCUUUGACGUUACCAACAGAAUUAGCACCGUAUCACUCUUUGCCAGCACCCUCGGUAAAACAGAGGGUGGAAGCGUUAAUCGGAAUUACUGGGCGUAAAGCGCGCGUAGGUGGUUCAGUAAGAUGGAAGUGAAAUCCCCGGGCUUAACCUGGGAACUGCUUUCAUAACUGCUGAGCUAGAGUACGGUAGAGGGUAGUGGAAUUUCCUGUGGAGCGGUGAAAUGCGUAGAUAUAGGAAGGAACACCAGUGGCGAAGGCGACUACCUGGACUGAUACUGACACUGAGGUGCGAAAGCGUGGGGAGCAAACAGG